UACGUAGGGGGCUAGCGUUGUUCGGAUUUACUGGGCGUAAAGCGCACGUAGGCGGAUUGUUAAGUCAGGUGUGAAAUCCUGGAGCUCAACUCCAGAACUGCCUUUGAUACUGGCAAUCUUGAGUCCGGAAGAGGUGAGUGGAACUCCUAGUGUAGAGGUGGAAUUCGUAGAUAUUAGGAAGAACACCAGUGGCGAAGGCGGCUCACUGGUCCGGUACUGACGCUGAGGUGCGAAAGCGUGGGGAGCAAACAGG
rnacentral:rRNA from 1 species